GACAAUGACUGUGAACUUGACUCGUAGAUAAAGCCGUGCGCGCCAGGGAUGGGAAUCCAGAACUGGAAGGCUGAAAAGAUCAUCACUGUCAUUCAUCCGGAAGAGUAAUAUUUUCUGUUUUCAAUUCUGUUUGCAUGAAAGCCAUACGUUUUGCCCGAAACAUAAUGGUCCAUUGUAAGGGCCACCUCAUGUUUCAUUUUGCAACAUUUUGCAUCAUUAAUAAAUGGAUGUUUUUCAAUUAAAAGCGGUGUUCCCUGUUUUUCAUUUAUU
rnacentral:lncRNA from 1 species